UACGUAGGCAGCGAGCGUUGUUCGGAAUUACUGGGCGUAAAGAGUGUGUAGGCGGUGCUCUAAGUUCGGUGUGAAAUCUCCUGGCUUAACUGGGAGGGUGCGCCGAAAACUGGAGUGCUCGAGCGUGGGAGAGGAAAGCGGAAUUCCUGGUGUAGCGGUGAAAUGCGUAGAUAUCAGGGGGAACACCUGCGGUGUAGACGGCUUUCUGGACCAUUGCUGACGCUGAGACACGAAAGCGUGGGUAGCAAACAGG
rnacentral:rRNA from 1 species